CGGAGAAUGUUAUCACGGGAGACACACGGCGGGUGCUAACGUCCGUCGUGAAGAGGGAAACAACCCAGACCGCCAGCUAAGGUCCCAAAGUCAUGGUUAAGUGGGAAACGAUGUGGGAAGGCCCAGACAGCCAGGAUGUUGGCUUAGAAGCAGCCAUCAUUUAAAGAAAGCGUAAUAGCUCACUGGUCGAGUCGGCCUGCGCGGAAGAUGUAACGGGGCUAAACCAUGCACCGAAGCUGCGGCAGCGACACUGUGUGUUGUUGGGUAGGGGAGCGUUCUGUAAGCCUGCGAAGGUGUCCCGUGAGGGAUGCUGGAGGUAUCAGAAGUGCGAAUGCUGACAUAAGUAACGAUAAAGCGGGUGAAAAGCCCGCUCGCCGGAAGACCAAGGGUUCCUGUCCAACGUUAAUCGGGGCAGGGUGAGUCGACCCCUAAGGCGAGGCCGAAAGGCGUAGUCGAUGGGAAACGGGUUAAUAUUCCCGUACUUGGUGUUACUGCGAAGGGGGGACGGAGAAGGCUAUGUUGGCCGGGCGACGGUUGUCCCGGUUUAAGCGUGUAGGUGUGUGUUCCAGGUAAAUCCGGUUCACUUUAACACUGAGGCGUGARGACGAGGCACUACGGUGCUGAAGCAACAAAUGCCCUGCUUCCAGGAAAAGCCUCUAAGCAUCAGGUAACAUCAAAUCGUACCCCAAACCGACACAGGUGGUCAGGUAGAGAAUACCAAGGCGCUUGAGAGAACUCGGGUGAAGGAACUAGGCAAAAUGGUGCCGUAACUUCGGGAGAAGGCACGCUGACACGUAGGUGAAGUGAUUUACUCAUGGAGCUGAAGUCAGUCGAAGAUACCAGCUGGCUGCA
rnacentral:rRNA from 1 species